CCUACGGGGGGCAGCAGUGGGGAAUAUUGGACAAUGGGGGGAACCCUGAUCCAGCCAUGCCGCGUGUGUGAAGAAGGCCCUCGGGUUGUAAAGCACUUUCAGGGAGGAAGAACGCCUGGUGGUUAAUACCCAUCAGGAAAGACAUCACUCACAGAAGAAGCACCGGCUAACUCCGUGCCAGCAGCCGCGGUAAUACGGAGGGUGCGAGCGUUAAUCGGAAUUACUGGGCGUAAAGCGCGCGUAGGUGGCUUGAUAAGCCGGUUGUGAAAGCCCCGGGCUCAACCUGGGAACGGCAUCCGGAACUGUCAAGCUAGAGUGCAGGAGAGGAAGGUAGAAUUCCCGGUGUAGCGGUGAAAUGCGUAGAGAUCGGGAGGAAUACCAGUGGCGAAGGCGGCCUUCUGGACUGACACUGACACUGAGGUGCGAAAGCGUGGGUAGCAAACAGGAUUAGAUACCCGUGUAGUC
rnacentral:rRNA from 1 species